AUUGGAAUCGCUUUGGGCAGCGACUCUAAUGCCUGCUGUCAGGCUUGGCGGGCCUUGAGGGCCAAGUAUGCAAGGGAAUCCAAAAAACAAAGUGGCCGGAGCGGUGCUGGCCGCGAUGAUGUUCCUGCGACGACAUGGCACCUGUUUAAAUAUCUCGCAUUCCUCAAGGGCCAGAUUCAGCACCGACGCACCAGAGUGCUCCCUGUUGCCAGGG